UACGUAGGUGACCAGCGUUGUCCGGAUUUACUGGGCGUAAAGAGCGCGCAGGCGGUCGUUCAAGUCGAGUGUGAAAGCCCCCGGCUCAACUGGGGAGGGUCAUUCGAUACUGAUCGACUGGAAGGCAGGAGAGGGAAGCGGAAUUCCCGGUGUAGUGGUGAAAUGCGUAGAUAUCUGGAGGAAUACCGGUGGCGAAGGCGGCAUCCUGGACCGGCAUUGACGCUGAGGAGCGAAAGCCAGGGGAGCAAACGGG
rnacentral:rRNA from 1 species